rnacentral:rRNA from 1 species
UACGGAGGAUCCGAGCGUUAUCCGGAUUUAUUGGGUUUAAAGGGUGCGCAGGCGGGAUGUUAAGUCGGCGGUGAAAUUUUGCAGCUCAACUGUAAAAGUGCCUUCGAUACUGGCUUUCUUGAGUGUGGAUGAAGUAGGCGGAAUUUGUGGUGUAGCGGUGAAAUGCUUAGAUAUCACGAGGAACUCCGAUUGCGCAGGCAGCUUACUAAACCACCACUGACGCUCAUGCACGAAGGCGUGGGGAUCAAACAGGAUUAGAUA